UCCCAAACCCCUGUGACAUACCAAUUGUUGCCUCGGCGGAUCAGCCCGCUCCCGGUAAAACGGGACGGCCCGCCAGAGGACCCCUAAACUCUGUUUCUAUAUGUAACUUCUGAGUAAAACCAUAAAUAAAUCAAAACUUUCAACAACGGAUCUCUUGGUUCUGGCAUCGAUGAAGAACGCAGCAAAAUGCGAUAAGUAAUGUGAAUUGCAGAAUUCAGUGAAUCAUCGAAUCUUUGAACGCACAUUGCGCCCGCCAGUAUUCUGGCGGGCAUGCCUGUUCGAGCGUCAUUUCAACCCUCAAGCCCAGCUUGGUGUUGGGACUCGCGAGUUAAACCGCGUUCCCCAAAUUGAUUGGCGGUCACGUCGAGCUUCCAUAGCGUAGUAGUAAAACCCUCGUUACUGGUAAUCGUCGCGGCCACGCCGUUAAACCCCAACUUCUGAAUGUUGACCUCGGAUCAGGUAGGAAUACCCGCUGAACUUAAGCAUAUCAAUAAGGCGGAGGA
rnacentral:rRNA from 1 species